rfam:Oryza nivara chromosome 6, whole genome shotgun sequence.
AAAAAGGCAAACCUUGGGUUUGCGUGUCCAACUUUGACUGUCCGUCUUAUAUGAAAUUUUUUUAUAAUUCGUAUUUUUAUUAUUGUUAGAUGAUAAAACAUGAUUAAUAUUUUAUGCGUGACUUGUCUUUUUAAUUUCUUUCAUAAUUUUUUCAAAUAAGACGGACGGUCAAACGUUGAGCACGGAAACCAGGGUUUGUCUUUUU